rnacentral:rRNA from 1 species
AGAACGAACGCUGGCGGCAUGCCUAACACAUGCAAGUCGAACGAGACCUUCGGGUCUAGUGGCGCACGGGUGCGUAACGCGUGGGAAUCUGCCCCUUGGUUCGGAAUAACAGUUGGAAACGACCGCUAAUACCGGAUGAUGACGAAAGUCCAAAGAUUUAUCGCCAAGGGAUGAGCCCGCGUAGGAUUAGCUAGUUGGUGAGGUAAAGGCUCACCAAGGCAACGAUCCUUAGCUGGUCUGAGAGGAUGAUCAGCCACACUGGGACUGAGACACGGCCAGACUCCUACGGGAGCAGCAGUA